UCAAGAAAUAGGCCCGCGGGCCUUAUGGCUCGCCUGGAGAGUCGAAUUUCAAACGAAUUUCACCGCAACUUUGCUUCAGAAGCUUAUGAUAUGAAAAAUUGAUUAUAUCUAAAGUGUCUUAAAGUCGGAAACUAAAUUGGGACUCAUUUGUCUUUUCUUUUCUUUUUUAACUCCGAGUGCAUCAACAAAUCGGACGGAAGACCUACUCGUUGCUCGCAACGAGAUCGUGUCUAGUUAUUAUUAUUAUUAUUAUGGUCUUCCGUCUUCAGCGGAAGAACCUUCUAUUAUUCUAUUGUUGAUUUUUCACUUUUCUUAUUAUUAUUAUUAUUUUUAUUCUUUUUUUUUUUCCUUACCGAUUUUGUGCAGAGGAUUUCUCAGAGAUGGCUUGAUCGAUUUGCUUCAAAUUUUUAGGGUUGAUGCAUUGCUAUCUGAAGUUUAUAUCUUUUUUUGGAUUUUCGAAAAUUCACUUCCGGUUGGAAGUUAUCCCCCUUUUAUCGAUUUUCAGAUCACCAUUUUGUCCGGACAAAAACUCAAAAACGACAAAAGCUAGAAUGCUGAAAUUUUCAGUGAUGUUAGACGACAUGUUGUAGUUGUGCACAUCGGUUUUCAAAAUUUCCGGAAGUGCCUAGUAUGGAAGCUCGAUAGGGGUCGAAAAUGGAGUUUAAAAAAGUGCCCAAUUUUUUUCCACGUUUUAAAUCAGAACUUUUUAUUCGUAAAUAUUUUGUUUAGACAUAUAUAACAAAAGUUGUACAGUUUAUUGAGAUCUUUCGUGUCAUAUCAAGAAAUGCGCCCAUGGGCCUAAUGGCUCGCCUGAACCAUUGAAUUUCUGUUACAAUGAUUAAAUUUUUUCUCACGAAACUUUUGACAAGACAUGUAGAAUGAAAGUUGUUCAGUUUUGGAA